GCUCCAAUGGGUUAACGCUACGCCGGCCUGGUUAUUUAGAGUUGAAUGUUGAUAAGAUUUUCGGGCAGAUGUGGGUUCAAAUCCCACUUGGAGCA